AAACAGCAUCGCCUCUGGCCUCGCGCCAACUCACCCAGGACGGAAAACGUGACCCCAGCACGGGGCCCGCGAGGGACCAAUCAGAAAACAAGAGGCAGGGCCACUGGACGAACCCAAAGUCCCACGAGCCCUCUAGUGGCGGCGGAAAGUAGAGACGAGCACUCGGGGUAGCGAGGUCGAAGCUCGGGGUGUUCAAAAGAAGAAACUAGAAAGGUAGCCCAAGGCCACUGUCACCCGCGAGACCAAGACCAGAGUCAUAAGCCCAGGAAAGUUUAUUAAAAUGAGAAUUCUUGAGCUCAUGGGAGAUGUAGUGCAUCAGGGUGUCGGGAAGGGGCCCAGAAAUCUGAAUUUUUACCAAGAUCUCCCAAGAAAUUCUUGCCUCACAGAGAGGUUUGGGAAUCCGUGACCCAGUCCUAAGAGUUAAAAGGGGUCCCCACCGUUCCGAUUUCUCUAGGGCUGCUAGGAUCAGAAACCGGGAACGUCCCACCCAAGUUCCCGGGCUCCAGAAGCGCUUAAGACCGGAAACCGGAACGCUUCCAAAGUGGCUGGGGGCCCGGAGGAAGCCAAGGAAGUGGCGUCCUCUCCCACGUCGGCUUGCUAAGGGAACCAGAUGGCAGGGCGGACGUCUCGGGGCCUGCCGGGAAAUGUAGUCCGCAGGGAGUGCGGGCGCGCGCCUGCGCCCUGCGCAGCUGCCGCGGGGAGCCUGAGAAAGCCUUGUGCAAAGAUGGGGAGUCCCUAAGUGGCCACAGGGCGUGGUCGUCCCGCGGGCGGUGUGAAGGGGCUGGCCGGUCCCGCUGGGGCUUCACCUACUGGCCGCCGCCAGACCUGACCCGGAAGUGAGUCCAUCAGCUUCUCAAAACUACCAAAAGAUUAAGAUGUGCUGCUUUAUGGUUUCGGCAGAACGUAAGCAAGUUAAGGGAGCCAGCCAGGACCAGUAAUCCAAUGGCCAACAUUCAAACACCAAGGAAGACAAGAAAGCAAAGGGAAUGAGUCUGUCCUUUGGCCACAAUCAUCUUGUUUCCAGCUGCCAUGGGAGACCAGGAGAGGAGGUUCCUGGCACACUCUGCACUCUCAGGAGCCCCUCACACAGGACGUCAGACGUUGCAGCUUGGGCCCCUCUUGACCGGACGGCAAGAACAGAGCUGCUGACAUCCACAGCCCAAGAUCCUUCUGAGAUCCCGGGGAGAGAUAGGUGCCCACGCGCCCAACGACGUUCCUGAAGCGAGCUCGGUGGUCUGAGAGGAGUGGUGCUCCUUCGUGAAGCCGUCUGUGGCGUCAGCGAGUCAUGGAGAAAGAAAAGCCUGAAGUGAAACCCAGCACACCCGCACCCAGCGACGAGGAGAAGACAACUAGACCCUCAAGACGCCCCAGGCCUUCCCAAAAUAUCCUGUGCUUUUUACUGAAUAGGCAGCUGGGGAGGCACAGAAGUGACGUGGACCUGUCCAUGUGGGUGUGGAUGCUGGACUGAGCCACGCCCCGCUGCAGGUGGCCCCUUCCAAACAACCAUGGGUCUUGCCUGCUCACCCCCACCCCCACCACCUCUUGAAAAUGGGAAAGAAAAAUUGAUUUAAAAUAACAAACACCUCUCUCGUGUCAGCUCUUGAAAUAAAAGCUGCGUUUUCCUCCUUGUGGUUCGAUGU
rnacentral:lncRNA from 1 species